rnacentral:rRNA from 1 species
GUUCCCUCUCCUCUUUCCUCCUUCUGGUUCCCGCGUUGUCCGGAAUCACUGGGCGUAAAGGGUGCGCAGGCGGGGCAGCAAGUCGGAGGUGAAAGCCCAUGGCUCAACCAUGGAAGUGCCUUCGAAACUGUUGCUCUUGAGUCCCGGAGAGGCUGUCGGAAUUCGUGGUGUAGCGGUGAAAUGCGUAGAUAUCACGAGGAACACCAGAGGCGAAAGCGGACAGCUGGACGGGUACUGACGCUCAGGCACGAAAGCGGGGGGAGCAAACAGGAUUAGAAACCCCGGUAGUCC